rnacentral:rRNA from 1 species
UAAGGAAUAUUGCUCAAUGGGAGAAAUCCUGAAGCAGCAACGCCGCGUGGAGGAUGAAGGGUCUAUGACUUGUAAACUCCUGUAAAGAAGGAAAAAAUUCCCAUUAGAUGGGAGAUGAUGGUACUUCUGGAGUAAGCCCCGGCUAACUACGUGCCAGCAGCCGCGGUAAUACGUAGGGGGCAAGCGUUGUCCGGAUUUACUGGGUGUAAAGGGUGCUCAGGCGGAUUUGUAAGUCAGAGGUGAAAUCUUACAGCUUAACUGUGAAACUGCCUUUGAUACUGCAAGACUAGAGUAUGGAAGAGAGUGAUGGAAUAUCUGGUGUAGCAGUGAAAUGCGUAGAUAUCAGAUAGAACACCAAUGGCGAAGGCAGUCACUUGGUCCAUUACUGACGCUAAAGCACGAAAGCGUGGGUAGCAAACA